rnacentral:rRNA from 1 species
UACGUAGGGUGCAGGCGUUAAUCGGAAUUACUGGGCGUAAAGCGUGCGCAGGCGGUUUGUUAAGACAGGUGUGAAAUCCCCGGGCUUAACCUGGGAACUGCGCUUGUUACUGGCAGACUCGAGUGUGGCAGAGGGGGGUGGAAUUCCAGGUGUAGCAGUGAAAUGCGUAGAGAUCUGGAGGAACACCGAUGGCGAAGGCAGCCCCCUGGGUUAACACUGACGCUCAUGCACGAAAGCGUGGGGAGCAAACAGG